rnacentral:tRNA from 1 species
UGGGGCGUCGCCAAGCGGUAAGGCACCGGGUUUUGAUCCCGGCAUUCGCAGGUUCGAAUCCUGCCGCCCCAG